rnacentral:rRNA from 1 species
UCCGUAGGUGGAUAAUUAAGUCAGAGGUGAAAUCCCACAGCUCAACUGUGGAACUGCCUUUGAUACUGGUCGUCUUGAGUUACAGUGAAGUAGAUAGAAUAUGUAGUGUAGCGGUGAAAUGCAUAGAUAUUACAUAGAAUACCGAUUGCGAAGGCAGUCUACUAACUGUCGACUGACGCUAAGGGACGAAAGCGUGGGGAGCGAACAGGAUUAGAUACCCUGGUAGUCC